AAUGAUGGGUAGGGGAGCUUCCCAUACGGGUUGAAGCAUGACCGUAAGGACAUGUGGACAGUAUGGGAGUGAGAAUGUUGGCAUGAGUAGCGAGAUGUGGGGGAGAAUCCCACAGGCCGUAAACCCAAGGUUUCCAGGGGAAGGUUCGUCCGCCCUGGGUUAGUCGGGACCUAAGCUGAGGCCGAAAGGCGUAGGUGAUGGACAACAGGUUGAUAUUCCUGUACUACCGAUAACCGUUUGAGAGAAGGGAUGACACAGUAGGAUAAGCUAAGCACACUG
rnacentral:rRNA from 1 species